AAUAUACUAAUCUUAGUUACCCUUUAAACUAAAAAGUAAUUUUGCAUUCUAUGUUAGUUAGUUCUAUUUACAAGAAAUAGGCAAGAAGAAAGAAGGAAGGCCAUUAGACUUGGAACAGUUCAGGCUAGCUCUCCGAAGGCAGUUGGAACUCAUUGAAUAGGGCAGGAGGGAGAGGAAGGGGAGUAGUGAGGAGACGGGAGAAGAAACAAAGACAGGGGAGGAGACAGAGUCAGGCGAGGAGACAGAGACAGGAGAAGUGACUGGG